rnacentral:rRNA from 1 species
UGCGUAGGCGGUUAUUUAAGUCAGAUGUGAAAUCCCCGGGCUUAACUCGGGUGGUGCAUUUGAAACUGGGUAACUAGAGUGCAGGAGAGGGAAGCGGAAUUCCUAGUGUAGCGGUGAAAUGCGUAGAUAUUAGGAGGAACACCAGUGGCGAAGGCGGCUUUCUGGACUGUAACUGACGCUGAGGCACGAAAGCGUGGGGAGCAAACAG